UACGUAGGUGACCAGCGUUGUCCGGAUUUACUGGGCGUAAAGAGCGCGCAGGCGGUCGUUCAAGUCGAGUGUGAAAGCCCCCGGCUCAACUGGGGAGGGUCACUCGAUACUGAUCGACUUGAAGGCAGGAGAGGGAAGCGGAAUUCCCGGUGUAGUGGUGAAAUGCGUAGAUAUCGGGAGGAACACCAGUGGCGAAGGCGGCUUACUGGGCUGAUACUGACGCUGAGGCGCGAAAGCCAGGGGAGCAAACGGG
rnacentral:rRNA from 1 species